rnacentral:rRNA from 1 species
GACAGAGGGUGCAAACGUUGUUCGGAAUUACUGGGCGUAAAGCGUGUGUAGGCGGUCUCCUAAGUCGGAUGUGAAGGCCCUCGGCUUAACUGAGGAAGUGCAUCCGAAACUGAGCAGCUAGAGUACGAAAGAGGGUCGCGGAAUUCCCGGUGUAGAGGUGAAAUUCGUAGAUAUCGGGAGGAACACCGGUGGCGAAGGCGGCGACCUGGGUCGAGACUGACGCUGAGGCGCGAAAGCGUGGGGAGCAAACAGG